UCUUUUGUUAAGUGUGUUGAAACGUUCGUGUACUUUCUCCAUUCCACAGCAUUUCUCUUGUGUUUCUUUCUGUUCUCCUCAUGCUACUUGAUGCAAUUAUUACAAUGAACAUUCGCAGGAGCAGCCUAUAGCCAGGAAAGCAGCAAGAUUUGUCAGUGCAACAUCAAGGAGCAGAGAUGCAGAAAGAACAAUCUGAAGACACUGUAGUCUGUGCCUUCUGUAGGCAAACAAAUGCUGGAAAACCACCCACUAGAUCACGUCUUCCUUUACGCCCUCAUCCCAUCGUCGCACUGGUGCCGUGACCCUUUGGAUCCUCAGAUCAGCUCCAUGCUGUCGUUGUGGCUGCUGUUGUGGAUCCAAACUGGAUACAAGAAAAUCUUUCCCUUGAUCCCAUCUCAGUUUCUCACUCUGACAUCAUAUGGGGUCCAUCAUGACUUGGCGCACACGCACAGGUUGUUAUUUAUUGAUUUCCUCCCUGACCUUAGUGAAUGAAUGAGGCAAAACGCUGCUUAGGUAGGAGCACCCCUGCUGAGUGUAGGCAGUCCUUAAUGCAAAUCAGGACUCAUUCAGUAUGUUUACAUGCACAGCUUAAUCAAGCUAUGCUCAAAAUUUAUCAUCAGCUGUAACAACUCUAAUAGCCUUCUUACGUUAACUGUGUAAUUAGCAUUUACUAACUUCCGAUACGGUACUGUACAGGACAUGCAAAAAACGUCAAUAUUAACACUUUUAAAGUGUCUAUAUGGGUUCACACUAUUAACACUCCUGUGUUGUUAUUGACUCUUUUUAUAGUUAAAAUUAAACACUUCUCAACACUAACCCGUGUUAGUUUCUCUCAACAGUAUUGUAUGUGUUAGAGAUAAACUUCCUCAUAUUGUCAAUUGUUAACUACUACAGGUGUUUGCCUCAUUCGUUCACUAACUUCAUAAAUAAUAAGUUGUACAUGUGUGCCAGGUCAUGACGCACACACAUAAAACAGAGCUGUUUGGUUCUGGAGCAGCAGUAGAGAUCCAUUAGAGACAAUGGAUGUUAAAAUGUUCUACUGGACCCCAGAUGUUGUCGGAGUUCUUUUGCAUAUAGAGCGCAAAACUGAGAUGUGAUCAAGAGAAGCAUUGGGUUGUCCCCAGUUUGGGGCCUGGAUCUCCUGUUUUUUUCUCUUCAUUCAGGGUCUUCCCAACCGUUGCUCUUGUUCCUGAUGAACCGUUCUUAGUCUGACCCUUCACCUAUAGGACCAACCUGCCUUUGGAGACGGCAUAGCCCCUAGGGUCAUUAGGGCACUCAAAUUCCUCCACCACGAUAAAGUGACGGUUCAAGGAGGAGAAAAUACUAUAAUGGCCACUAAUGGCCUUCCACUGGAUUGGCUGGGUGCUACACAGUAAGCAUGAGCUUGGUGUCUUCAGGAGGCUGAGACCUCCACCUGCAGCCACAGUGAGCUGAUCAUCUGGCUGUUGGCUUGAAGAGACCCGAGUCAGCGGAGGAGGUUGGACCUUCCAGCCCAACCUCUAAACUGUUGGUGACUAUGAGAAACAGGUCCUAUAUAAAAACUCCUGCUGGUAAUUUCAUGAUGUCAUGAUGACAUCAUCAGGAACAAGAACAGCCAAGCUCAUUUAUUUUUGUUCCUGAUGAUGUCAUCAUAGUUUCGCUAUGACAUCACUGGGAACUGAUUAUGACAGCGAUGACAUGAUGUCGCAAUGUAUUGAUUAGCUGCUGCACCUGUGUAGCUUAGCAAGAAAAUCACACAGUGAUUGACAUUUAGUGUUUGUUUGUGGCAGAAAGAACAAUUUGAGGACAAUGUAUGUGUCCAUGUCUUCAGCGGGCAGAUAAAUGCUGGAAAACCACACCUGGGAUCACGUCUUCCUCUACACCCUCAUCACAUCCAUUACACCAUGUGCUAACUGACCUUUCUUCUCAUCUCAGAUGCUGCAGUCUUUAGUUUUACUGUUGGCUGUUAACGUGAGCUGUCACACUCUUUAAUUUCAUCAUGUCAUGUUUUAACCUCACAUCUCCUCUCAUGGUGCUGGACCCUACCUACGCUGACUGCAGCGCUCAGCCUCCAAAGGCAAACUCCCUGCUCCAGGGCACUGGUUGAGGACCUGAAGGAAGGAGGAACAUGCAGUGGAGAGACUGAGCUUGGGAAAACUAGGAAAGUUUAUCCACAGACUGGAUGCCUAUCAAUGCAACAUCAAGUCUAGAGCUGGAUGGAUACGAGGGGAGUGGAAGAGGUUUCCAAGAACGCCCCAGGAUCCCACUGAUGAUGAAGGAGCAACUACUCCCACUCUUGACAUUAGUGCGUACUUCAGGAGCAGGGACCUGAAGGCACCAGGAGCCCCAGAAAAGACUUGCUUACUCCUGGCAUCAUAGUGGCCAGAGGAGCAGCCACAGGUAGAAGGUAAGUAAGUUCUUAAUUCUCUCAUCUUCACUGGAGACUCCAGGACCUGAAUGCAACACAAACCACAACGACAAGAGUUCCAGGAUCCAGAGGAGAAGCUAUUGUGACAGACAAUACAAGCAAGGAAUGCAGAGGGUGACCUAGCACAGAGAACACCAAGGAGGUAAAUGGAGAGGAGGACCAUCUGGAGGACACCACAAACCACAAAGCCACCUUCAACCCACCCCUGUGAGGAAAACGCACCAAUGGCCUGGAGCAGCUGGGACCCAUUUUAGAAAACCUAUUUUAAUGCUACAGCAUUUAUUAUUUUCAUUAUUAUUAUUAUUUAGAAGGCAAAUCCUGAAAUUAGAAUGUGCUUUGCUGAGGGAGCAGAGGUACAGAAACCAGCUGAAGACCAUCUCUGCGUCUCUGUCUUCUUCAGGCAAACAAAGACAGGUAAACCACUCUCUGGAUCGUGUCUUCCUCUACGCCCUCAUCCCAUCCGUGACACCGGUGCUGUGAUCCUUUGGAUCUUCAGAUCAGGUCCAUGUUGUCGUUGGCUACCCUUCCACAUCGCCACAUACUCAGGUUUAUAGAAGACUGUUGACGAUACAAACACACACAGCCUUCAGUUGCGCUUGACUCACAUGAACUAGUCACAGGAGCAAGUCAUAACAAUGUGUUGAUUUGCUGCUGCACCUGUGCAGCCUAGCAAGACAAUGACGUCCGUGUUAAGGGCACAUUGGAGAACAACACUUUAACACUUUUUGAUUGUUUACCCUGAGCUAGGUGGUGCCUUUGGAGUCAGCGAGUCAGUGAGUGAGGACAACGUAUGUGUCCGUGUUAAAUGCUGGAAAAUUUCACCUUGGAUUGUGUCUUUCUCCACGCCCUCAUCACAUCCGUUACAUGUGCUAAAUUACCUUUCUGCUCAACGUAGAUGCCACAGUGUUUAGUUUUCUGUUGGUUUUUAGUGUGAGCCAUCACACUGUUUAAAUUCCAUCGUGUUUCAACCUCACGUGUCCUCAUGGGCUGUGGGACCCUUUCUACGCUGACUGCAACGGUCACCCUCCAAAGACAAACUCCAGGGUUCUGGUUGAGGACCUGAAGAGCAAGCGUGCACAUUGUUUCUUAACCAAGGCAUGACCUCAGCAUAUUGUCUAAGAUUCCAGACACAUGAAGCAGCCUACAUAUUGUCAUAGUUUAUCCCUUUUUCACUAGAUGGUGCAUUGACAUAGACAACAGAAUAGAAAAGAAAAAUACUUUAUUCGGUCCCUGGAGGAAAUUCGAGUGUCCAGUAGCUUGUACACAAACAUCAACAUAACACACCAACAAUAUCAGCAAAAAAUCAACAUGUAAUAGCAAAAGGAAAAGGAAGAUAAUAUGAUAAGACUGUGUUAGCAUGUAUAUCUGUGCAAAAUAACUGAGUGGUGGUGGCUGAAACCAUAUACUUGGACCAUUUAAAGAGUGUCUACUCAAGCUACGUCAUCUAAUUAUUACAACCAGCACUCGCUGCAGGAGCAUACCUAUAACCAGGAAAACCGGAAGAUUGUCCAAGGGCUGUGCCUUUAUCAAUGCAACAUCAAGGUAAGCUUCAUGAUCCCGUCUCGCCUCAUUUUCUACUACCGCAUUCUCACUAGGGUCGCGGGGGUUGCCGGAGUCUGACGCAGAGAGACAGACAGCCAUUCACGUUCACCUGUACAACUGCAACGAUUUACAAUCACCAAUUAACCCAACGAGUAAGCCGGAGCUCCUGUACACAUCCCACGUAGACACGCAAACUCCACACAGAAAGCCCCCAGUCGGAUUCGAACCCGGACCUUCUUGCUGUGAGGAAUGUUCACAAUCAGACAAAAGAGAAA